GUGAAUCAUCAAAUUUUUGAACGCAAAUUGCGCCUUUUGCGGAAGGCAUGGCUGUGUGAGUGCACCAUUUAACAAAUAAUUUACAGCGUCUUUUGUUGCACACGUUGAUGAGCUUGCCAAGAGUUUUAAGUUUUUGGUGGCGCAUAAUGAACAGCGUGGAAGUUUUUUUCAGUUCGGGUAUAUUAAAAUCUUUUCUUGGGUUGUGAAAAAACAUAAUCGCGCAAUGGGUGUUGCAAUUUCUUUUUAUCCCUUCCCCAAGGCCACUCUUUCUCAUG
rnacentral:misc_RNA from 1 species